rnacentral:rRNA from 1 species
AGUGAACGCUGGCGGUAGGCCUAACACAUGCAAGUCGAACGGCAGCACAGUAGGAGCUUGCUCUUACGGGUGGCGAGUGGCGGACGGGUGAGGAAUACAUCGGAAUCUACUUUUUCGUGGGGGAUAACGUAGGGAAACUUACGCUAAUACCGCAUACGACCUACGGGUGAAAGCAGGGGAUCUUCGGACCUUGCGCGAUUGAAUGAGCCGAUGUCGGAUUAGCUAGUUGGCGGGGUAAAGGCCCACCAAGGCGACGAUCCGUAGCUGGUCUGAGAGGAUGAUCAGCCACACUGGAACUGAGACACGGUCCAGACUCCUACGGGAGGCAGCAGUGGGGAAUAUUGGACAAUGGGCGCAAGCCUGAUCCAGCCAUACCGCGUGGGUGAAGAAGGUCUUCGGGUUGUAAAGCCCUUUUGUUGGGAAAGAAAAGCAGCAGGUUAAUACCCCGCUGUUCUGACGGUACCCAAAGAAUAAGCACCGGCUAACUUCGUG